rnacentral:rRNA from 1 species
UAGGGAAUCUUCGGCAAUGGACGAAAGUCUGACCGAGCAACGCCGCGUGAGUGAAGAAGGUUUUCGGAUCGUAAAACUCUGUUGUUAGAGAAGAACAAGGACGUUAGUAACUGAACGUCCCCUGACGGUAUUUAACCAGAAAGCCACGGCUAACUACGUGCCAGCAGCCGCGGUAAUACGUAGGUGGCAAGCGUUGUCCGGAUUUAUUGGGCGUAAAGCGAGCGCAGGCGGUUUCUUAAGUCUGAUGUGAAAGCCCCCGGCUCAACCGGGAGGGUCAUUGGAAACUGGGAGACUUGAGUGCAGAAGAGGAGAGUGGAAUUCCAUGUGUAGCGGUGAAAUGCGUAGAUAUAUGGAGGAACACCAGUGGCGAAGGCGGCUCUCUGGUCUGUAACUGACGCUGAGGCUCGAAAGCGUGGGGAGCAAACAGG